CCUCGGUUUUAUUUUGUUGGUUUCUAAAACCGAAGUAAUGAUUAAUAGGGAUAGUUGGGGGCAUUAGUAUUUAAUUGUCAGAGGUGAAAUUCUUGGAUUUAUGAAAGACUAACUUCUGCGAAAGCAUUUGCCAAGGAUGUUUUCAUUAAUCAAGAACGAAAGUUAGGGGAUCGAAGACGAUUAGAUACCGUCGUAGUCUUAACCAUAAACUAUGCCGACUAGGGAUCGGGGGAAUGCGUUUCGCAUCCCUCGGCACCUUAUGAGAAAUCAAAGUUUUUGGGUUCCGGGGGGAGUAUGGUCGCAAGGCUGAAACUUAAAGGAAUUGACGGAAGGGCACCACCAGGGGUGGAGCCUGCGGCUUAAUUUGACUCAACACGGGGAAACUCACCA
rnacentral:rRNA from 1 species